GCAUGGGUGGCUCAGUUGGUUGAGCGUCCGACUUUGGCUCAGGUCAUGAUCUUGGCGGUUUGUGAGUUCGAGCCCCGCUUCAGGCU
rnacentral:tRNA from 1 species